AGAAGUUUGGGGUGGCCUGAGGAGUUAGCUGGAGAGAUGGGGGUCUCCUUACGUUGCCCUGACUGGUCUCAAACUCCUGCAUUCAAGUGGCCCUCCCACCUCAAUCUACCAAAGUGCUGGGAUUAGAUGUGUGAGCCACCACGCCUGGCAGGAAAUCUCUUUAAAAUACAAUUAAAGGAAAUUUGGAAACAUUCCAUGCUUAUCAGGGAUAUUUGCAGAUUUGGCAACUAACGUCUUAGGGAACCAUCAGUGUAAGAGGAAAAGAAGUGUGAUGGCCAAGAGUUCACAGAGGAAGCAACGUGACUGUGUAAACCAAUGCAAAUCAAAGCCUGGCUUGAGCACCUCAAUCCCUCUGAGAAUGUCCAGUUACACAUUCAAGAGGCCAGUUACGAGAAUUACACCCCAUCCUGGCAAUGAGGUCAGAUACCAUCAAUGGGAGGAGAGCUUGGAGAAGCCUCAGCAGGUCUGCUGGCAGAGGAGACUGCAAGGACUCCAGGCUUACAGCAGUGCAGGAGAACUUUUAAGUACUUUGGAUCUUGCCAAUACCUUGCAAAAACUUGUCCCUAGUUACACAGGUGGAUCUCUGCUGGGGGAUCUUGCCAGUGGUCUGGAGCAAGCCUGCCCCAUGCCCCACCUUGCCUGCUCUUCAGAUGCGAUGGAGAUAAUUCCUGGAGAGGGAGCGGGUAUCUCGCAGCUCCUCUGCCAACAAUUUCUGGUCACUGAGGAAGAUAUCAGGAAACAGGAAAGGAAAGUGAAGACAGUCAGACAGAGACUCGCAAUAGCACUGAUUGCAGACGGGCUCGCUAAUGAGGCAGAGAAAGUGAGAGAUCAAGAAGGCUGUCCUGAAAAACACUAUGAAAAAAAGGGAAGAUAGUGCAGAUGAAAUAAAGCGUAAUCCUUUAUUAACAUCUC